UAGCUCAGUCCGUACAGCAUGGGACUCUUAAUCCCAGGUCGUGGGUUCAUGCCCCAU
rnacentral:tRNA from 1 species